CCUACGGGUGACAGCAGUGAGGAAUAUUGGUCAAUGGCCGAGAGGCUGAACCAGCCAAGUCGCGUGAGGGAAGACGGCCCUACGGGUUGUAAACCUCUUUUGUCGGGGAGCAAAGCGAGUCACGUGUGACUCAUUGAGAGUACCCGAAGAAAAAGCAUCGGCUAACUCCGUGCCAGCAGCCGCGGUAAUACGGAGGAUGCGAGCGUUAUCCGGAUUUAUUGGGUUUAAAGGGUGCGCAGGCGGAGGUGCAAGUCUGAAGUGAAAGGCGGGGGCCCAACCCCUGGACUGCUUUGGAAACUGUAUGGCUGGAGUGCAGGAGAGGUAAGUGGAAUUCCUAGUGUAGCGGUGAAAUGCGUAGAUAUGUGGAAGAACACCGAUGGCGAAGGCAGCCUCCUGGGACAUAACUGACGCUCAGGCACGAAAGCGUGGGGAGCAAACAGGAUUAGAUACCCCUGUAGUC
rnacentral:rRNA from 1 species